GCCUGGGUGGCUCAGUCAGUUAAGCAUCUGACUUUGGCUCAGGUCAUGAUCUCACAGUUUGUGGGUUCAAGCCCCGCGUCAGGCU
rnacentral:tRNA from 1 species